rnacentral:rRNA from 1 species
GACGAACGCUGGCGGCGUGCUUAACACAUGCAAGUCGAACGGAAAGGCCCUGCUUUUGUGGGGUGCUCGAGUGGCGAACGGGUGAGUAACACGUGAGUAACCUGUCCUUGACUUUGGGAUAACUUCAGGAAACUGGGGCUAAUACCGGAUAGGAGCUCCUGCUGCAUGGUGGGGGUUGGAUAGUUUCGGCGGUUGGGGAUGGACUCGCGGCUUAUCAGCUUGUUGGUGGGGUAGUGGCUUACCAAGGCUUUGACGGGUAGCCGGCCUGAGAGGGUGACCGGCCACAUUGGGACUGAGAUACGACACAGACUACUACGGGAGGCAGCAGUGGGGAAUGUUGCACAAUGGGCGGAAGCCUGAUGCAGCAACGCCGCGUGCGGGAUGACGGCAUUCGGGUUGUAAACCGCUUUCGCCUGUGACGAAGCGUGAGUGACGGUAAUGGGUAAAGAAGCACCGGCUAACUACGUG